GAGAGAUGGCUGAGUUGGUCUAAGGCACUCGACUCGAAAUCGAGCGUGGCAGGAAUGUCACCAAGGGUUCGAAUCCCUUUCUCUCC
rnacentral:tRNA from 1 species